CCGCAGCACUCACGCGCCAUUGACCGCGGAGGUGGGAGGCGGUGCACGGAGUCGCGGCUUUGCGAAGCGACAGUUCCGGGCUCCAGAAGGUUCCGCUGCUCGAGCCGCCGCGAUGAUGGGCCCGCGCCCCGUCCUGGUUCUCAGUCAGAAUACAAAACGGGAGUCUGGAAGAAAAGUCCAGACGGGAAACAUCACUGCUGCAAAGACUAUUGCUGACAUUAUCCGAACAUGUUUAGGACCAAGAGCAAUGAUGAAGAUGCUUUUGGACCCCAUGGGUGGGAUUGUGAUGACCAACGAUGGCAAUGCUAUUCUUAGAGAGAUUCAAGUCCAGCAUCCAGCCGCAAAAUCAAUGAUAGAGAUCAGCCGCACUCAGGAUGAAGAAGUUGGAGAUGGGACCACAUCUGUCAUUAUCCUUGCUGGAGAGAUGCUCUCUGUUGCCGAACACUUUCUUGAACAGCAGAUGCACCCAACUGUGAUCAUCUGGGCUUAUCGUAAGGCUCUUGAUGACAUGAUCAGUAUUCUAAAGAAAAUUGGCACUCCAGUGGACGUGAACAAUAAAGAGAUGAUGCUUAAAAUAAUUAAGAGUGCGAUAAACACCAAGGCAAUAAACCGCUGGUCUGACUUGGCUUGUAGCAUUGCCCUUGAUGCUGUUAAGACUGUGGAGUUUGAAGAAAAUGGCAGAAAGGAAAUUGAUAUUAAAAAAUAUGCAAAAGUAGAGAAGAUUCCAGGUGGUUUUAGCGAAGACUCAUGCGUUUUGCGUGGAAUCAUGGUGAAUAAAGAUGUAACCCAUCCCAGAAUGCGUCGCCUUAUUAAGAAUCCACGCAUUGUCCUUCUGGAUUGUUCAUUGGAGUACAAGAAAGGAGAGAGCCAGACUGACAUUGAAAUUACUCGGGAGGAAGACUUUGCCCGUAUCCUGCAGAUGGAGGAAGAGUACAUUCAGCAGAUGUGUGAGGAUCUGAUAAGAGUCAAACCAGAUCUAGUCAUCACGGAAAAAGGAGUUUCUGACCUGGCCCAGCACUACCUGAUGAGAGCCAACAUCACCGCCAUCCGCAGGGUGCGGAAGACUGACAACAACCGGAUUGCCAGGGCCUGUGGAGCUCGCAUUGUCAGUCGCACAGAUGAGCUCCGGGAGGAGGAUGUGGGAACUGGUGCUAGGCUCUUUGAAGUGAAAAAAAUAGGAGAUGAGUAUUUUGCUUUCAUCACUGAUUGCAAAGAUCCUAAGGCUUGCACCAUCAUCCUGCGGGGAGCCAGCAAGGAAAUCCUAGCGGAGGUGGAGCGCAACCUGCAGGAUGCCAUGCAGGUGUGCCGCAAUGUCCUCAUGGACCCACAGCUGGUGCCAGGUGGGGGAGCCACUGAAAUGGCCGUUUCCCAUGCCCUGACGGAGAGGUCCAAGGGCAUGACAGGUGUGGAGCAGUGGCCCUACCGUGCAGUGGCCCAGGCUCUGGAAGUCAUUCCCCGGACACUGAUCCAGAACUGUGGCGCCAGUACAAUCCGUGUUCUGACUUCACUCAGGGCCAAGCACACUCAGGAAGGCAGCCAGACAUGGGGGGUGAAUGGGGAGUCUGGAGCCCUGGUUGACAUGAAGGAGCUGGGGAUCUGGGAGCCCUUGGCUGUCAAACUUCAGACCUACAAAACAGCCGUGGAGGGCCAAAUAUGAGUGGCAAAUCAACGUUGGCAUGGAUCUGCUGGAGGAGAGGAGUUUGUGGUGGGCUCCCAGUGACAUCUGAUGGAGUGACGGUGAGAGCAUCUCAUGGGGUCUGGGGGAGCACCUGGAUGCACUUGGAUGUGGAGCAUUGCUCAGAGGAGGUGGUGAGGGACAAAGCUUUUUGCCAGGAAGCAGCAGCUGAACAGUUAUUUUAGCUGACCAAGAGAUGACAUCCUGGUGAUGGCAGGAACUUCCCGGAUGGCAAGGUGGCCUUCCUUGGCUCCCCAUGUGGAUCCUCCCAGCUGGGCAUCCAAGAGCUAAGUCGAUGGCUACAACCUGCAGAGGGGAUGAGAGCGGGGUGCUGGGUCGGGACUCAUGACCCGGGAUUUUUGAGUCAGCUUUGGGGAGGGGGAGGUCCAGGCUGUGGCCCCUUAGGCCUCAUGAAGGGAGAGCGUCACUUUUGCUCACAGUGCUGAGAUGUGCAGGACAGAGCAGUCCCGAGGCGUGUCAUGCCACUUGUCCAUCGUGCCUUCUCUGUCUUUUGUGCCUCUUGUGUUGUACGUGCCUUGCCUUAUCUCUUCUGGGGGCUUACCAGAAACCCUGGCAUCACUCCUCACAUCUCUGAUUUCUGGCUUCCUUGGCCUGAUGCCGUCGAAGCUUUGGCUUGGGAACUCUCAGAGGCCUUGGAAUCGCGUCUCUCUUGAAAAGCAUCCUACCGGAUGUCUUUUAGAGGUCUUGUUCCGUGCUGUAUCAACAGCUGUGCACCGCAAGGAUCCAUUGUUGCGGCUCAGGACUUGUACGAAAGAUAGGUAGAGGAUUGUGGCGGUCAGAUUGUCGGGCAUCCGUCUUGGUGGUUCUUGGAGUAAGUUGUUCCAUCAGCAUCUUCUUCCUCCUGGGUUCUGCGAGCCUCGUCAGCUCGCCAUCCUUCUCACCCAGGUCAUCUCGUUCUGCAUUCUCUCAGUCCUUGCGGCCGUUCUUGUGGCUCAGAGUUUUGUCUCCCCGUUGUGUCCCCUCAUCUGUUGUCUUGUGUGUCACGGGUGUCUGGGUGUAGUUGGCCCAGAGCUGCUCUGCCCUGCUGUUCAGCCUGGGUGUAGGUGGAAAAGGUCAAGUCCCAGUCCCCUGUAAUUUGAAAUUUGUAAUGUAUGGUGUAGUUGGAGUCUAGAGGGUAUUCCUAGAUCGACACAAGAUGUCUGGAGCUGUGAAGUUACCCUGCCGCACUGUGACUUUUGUCUUAGCUUUCUUUCAGAUGCGUAUGGAUUAAAUAAGUGGCGGAGACCCCCACUGCAGACUGCAGGGCUUGGGAGGAACUUCAACCCUUUUUUGGGGGCUACCUCCUUUCAUUGUUGCAGCGGAUUCAUUUUUUGCAGUGAUGUAUAUGUGGAAAGAGCUCUAAUAAAGUGGUGUUAUUCUGUCUGUGGCA